UACAGAGGUCUCAACCGUUGUUCGGAUUCAUUGGGCGUAAAGGGUGCGUAGGCGGUCGCGCAAGUCGGAUGUGAAAUCUCAGGGCUCAACCCUGAAACUGCAUUCGAUACUGCGUGGCUAGAGUGCUGGAGAGGAGACUGGAAUUUACGGUGUAGCAGUGAAAUGCGUAGAUAUCGUAAGGAAGACCAGUGGCGAAGGCGAGUCUCUGGACAGCAACUGACGCUGAGGCACGAAGGCCAGGGGGAGCAAACGGG
rnacentral:rRNA from 1 species